GGGAUCGAACCUGCGUCUCUUUAUGUCUACCUGCAUUGGCAGAAUACAUGCAGAAAAAUGCACAGGUCAUAAGUGACAAUGUGAGGAAUCUUCCUAAGUGAGCGCAUCAAGGCCACAUCAAGACGCAGCGUUCCCGUUUCCCAGAAGCUCCCCGCUGCCCUCUGCCAGCGAUGACUUCCCCGCAGCAAAAAUGGACUGAACACCUGCUCUGUGCUCAUGGCUGGAGAUGCAGAGGGUAAGACCGGCAGCCUCUGUCCCGGGGCGCUGACGUCAGAGCGGAGGCGGCAGGCAGCGAAGAAGCAAAGACCUGGGCAAGGAAC